rnacentral:rRNA from 1 species
GAUGAACGCUGGCGGCGUGCCUAAUACAUGCAAGUCGAGCGAACAGACGAGGAGCUUGCUCCUCUGACGUUAGCGGCGGACGGGUGAGUAACACGUGGAUAACCUACCUAUAAGACUGGGAUAACUUCGGGAAACCGGAGCUAAUACCGGAUAAUAUAUUGAACCGCAUGGUUCAAUAGUGAAAGACGGUUUUGCUGUCACUUAUAGAUGGAUCCGCGCCGCAUUAGCUAGUUGGUAAGGUAACGGCUUACCAAGGCAACGAUGGGUAGCCGACCUGAGAGGGGGGGACGCCCACAGGGAAAUGGAGACCGGGCCAAGACCCCAAGGGGGGGAGGAGGAGGGAAAUUUUCGCAAAGGGAGAAAGGCCGAACGGGGCAAGGCGGGGGGAGGAAGAAGGGUCUUGGAAUCGAAAAACUGUGUUAUAGGGAAGAAACAAAUGUGUAAGUAAAAAUGCACUUCUUGACGGUACCUAAUCAGAAAGCCACGGCAAACUACGUG